rnacentral:siRNA from 1 species
GAUAGUUGAUGGCGGUCUUAUGA